ACCUUAUUAAGAGUGGUGGAGGGACUGGCCCUGUGAAACCCGGCAACCGCUGUUCCUCGGAACAGAAUGGUGCUAAUUCCUUAAGCAAGCAGAUGCUUGUUUGAAGAUAAGGC
rfam:Bacillus pumilus SAFR-032, complete genome.